UGCCCCGUCACUACCAUCCUCCUCCCUCUCGGAUCAGUCCGCAUGUUCAUGGUGCCAGCAUUUGUUAUGGAAUAUGUUGAGCAAACCUGGAAAAGCGUCAGCUCAAGAUAUUAUUGUUGUCAUUGCUGUGAAUCUUUACCUGAUACACUGACUUGGCUCGGGACCAGCACUCCUGCUGUUGGACAGAAAGACAUCAACUUGAGAUAUGACUGCACUAUGCUGUUGCUGGUGACUCCAGUUAAUUCUACAAGACAUGCUGUGUAAGUAAACAAAC